GGGUUGUGAGGUUAAGCGACUAAGCGUACACGGUGGAUGCCUAGGCAGUCAGAGGCGAUGAAGGGCGUGCUAAUCUGCGAAAAGCGUCGGUAAGGUGAUAUGAACCGUUACAACCGACGAUACCCGAAUGGGGGAAACCCAGUGCAAUUCGUUGCACUAUUGCAUGGUGAAUACAUAGCCAUGCAAGGCGAACCGGGGGAACUGAAACAUCUAAGUACCCCGAGGAAAAGAAAUCAACCGAGAUUCCCCCAGUAGCGGCGAGCGAACGGGGAGGAGCCCAGAGUCUGAAUCAGUUUGUGUGUUAGUGGAAGCGUCUGGAAAGUCGCAGGGUACAGGGUGAUACUCCCGUACACAAAAACACACUUGCUGUGAACUCGAUGAGUAGGGCGGGACACGUGACAUCCUGUCUGAAUAUGGGGGGACCAUCCUCCAAGGCUAAAUACUCCUGACUGACCGAUAGUGAACCAGUACCGUGAGGGAAAGGCGAAAAGAACCCCGGCGAGGGGAGUGAAAUAGAACCUGAAACCGUGUACGUACAAGCAGUGGGAGCACCUUCGUGGUGUGACUGCGUACCUUUUGUAUAAUGGGUCAGCGACUUAUAUUUUGUAGCAAGGUUAACCGAAUAGGGGAGCCGUAGGGAAACCGAGUCUUAACUGGGCGUCUAGUUGCAAGGUAUAGACCCGAAACCCGGUGAUCUAGCCAUGGGCAGGUUGAAGGUUGGGUAACACUAACUGGAGGACCGAACCGACUAAUGUUGAAAAAUUAGCGGAUGACUUGUGGCUGGGGGUGAAAGGCCAAUCAAACCGGGAGAUAGCUGGUUCUCCCCGAAAGCUAUUUAGGUAGCGCCUCGUGAACUCAUCUUCGGGGGUAGAGCACUGUUUCGGCUAGGGGGUCAUCCCGACUUACCAAACCGAUGCAAACUCCGAAUACCGAAGAAUGUUAUCACGGGAGACACACGGCGGGUGCUAACGUCCGUCGUGAAGAGGGAAACAACCCAGACCGCCAGCUAAGGUCCCAAAGUCAUGGUUAAGUGGGAAACGAUGUGGGAAGGCAUAGACAGCCAGGAUGUUGGCUUAGAAGCAGCCAUCAUUUAAAGAAAGCGUAAUAGCUCACUGGUCGAGUCGGCCUGCGCGGAAGAUGUAACGGGGCUAAACCAUGCACCGAAGCUGCGGCAGCGACACUUAGGUGUUGUUGGGUAGGGGAGCGUUCUGUAAGCCGUUGAAGGUGACCUGUGAGGGUUGCUGGAGGUAUCAGAAGUGCGAAUGCUGACAUAAGUAACGAUAAUGCGGGUGAAAAGCCCGCACGCCGGAAGACCAAGGGUUCCUGUCCAACGUUAAUCGGGGCAGGGUGAGUCGACCCCUAAGGCGAGGCUGAAAAGCGUAGUCGAUGGGAAACAGGUUAAUAUUCCUGUACUUGGUGUUACUGCGAAGGGGGGGACGGAGAAGGCUAGGCUAGCCGGGCGACGGUUGUCCCGGUUUAAGCAUGUAGGCGGAGUGACUUGGUAAAUCCGGUUGCUUAUCAACGCUGAGGUGUGAUGACGAGUCACUACGGUGAUGAAGUAGUUGAUGCCAAGCUUCCAGGAAAAGCCUCUAAGCAUCAGGUAACAUUAAAUCGUACCCCAAACCGACACAGGUGGUCAGGUAGAGAAUACUCAGGCGCUUGAGAGAACUCGGGUGAAGGAACUAGGCAAAAUGGUGCCGUAACUUCGGGAGAAGGCACGCUGGCAUUAGGUAAAGAGACUUGCUCUCGGCGCCGAAGCCAGUCGCAGAUACCAGCUGGCUGCAACUGUUUAAUAAAAACACAGCACUGUGCAAACACGAAAGUGGACGUAUACGGUGUGACGCCUGCCCGGUGCUGGAAGGUUAAUUGAUGGGGUCAGCCGCAAGGCGAAGCUCUUGAUCGAAGCCCCAGUAAACGGCGGCCGUAACUAUAACGGUCCUAAGGUAGCGAAAUUCCUUGUCGGGUAAGUUCCGACCUGCACGAAUGGCGUAAUGAUGGCCAGGCUGUCUCCACCCGAGACUCAGUGAAAUUGAACUCGCUGUGAAGAUGCAGUGUACCCGCGGCAAGACGGAAAGACCCCGUGAACCUUUACUAUAGCUUGACACUGAACAUUGAGCCUUGAUGUGUAGGAUAGGUGGGAGGCAUCGAAGCGUGGACGCCAGUCUGCGUGGAGCCAACCUUGAAAUACCACCCUUUAAUGUUUGAUGUUCUAACUCGGCCCCGUGAUCCGGGGUGAGGACAGUGUCUGGUGGGUAGUUUGACUGGGGCGGUCUCCUCCCAAAGAGUAACGGAGGAGCACGAAGGUUAGCUAAUCACGGUCGGACAUCGUGAGGUUAGUGCAAAGGCAUAAGCUAGCUUGACUGCGAGAGUGACGGCUCGAGCAGGUACGAAAGUAGGUCUUAGUGAUCCGGUGGUUCUGAAUGGAAGGGCCAUCGCUCAACGGAUAAAAGGUACUCCGGGGAUAACAGGCUGAUACCGCCCAAGAGUUCAUAUCGACGGCGGUGUUUGGCACCUCGAUGUCGGCUCAUCACAUCCUGGGGCUGAAGUAGGUCCCAAGGGUAUGGCUGUUCGCCAUUUAAAGUGGUACGCGAGCUGGGUUUAGAACGUCGUGAGACAGUUCGGUCCCUAUCUGCCGUGGGCGUUGGAAGAUUGAGAGGGGCUGCUCCUAGUACGAGAGGACCGGAGUGGACGAAUCACUGGUGUUCGGGUUGUCAUGCCAAUGGCAUUGCCCGGUAGCUAAAUUCGGAAGAGAUAACCGCUGAAAGCAUCUAAGCGGGAAACUUGCCUCGAGAUGAGUCUUCCCUGGGGCUUUAAGCCCCCUGAAGGAACGUUAAAGACUAUGACGUUGAUAGGCUGGGUGUGUAAGUGCAGCGAUGCAUUGAGCUAACCAGUACUAAUGAUCCGUGAGGCUUAACCUUACAACACCGAAGGUGUUU
rnacentral:rRNA from 1 species